rnacentral:rRNA from 1 species
GACAGAGGUGCCAAGCGUUAGGCGGAAUCACUGGGCUUAAAGCGUGUGUAGGCGGACUUGUAAGUACCUUGUGAAAUCCCACGGCUCAACCGUGGAACUGCUUGGUAUACUGCUUGUCUUGAGCCACUUAGGGGCUACCGGAACAAAUGGUGGAGCGGUGAAAUGCGUAGAUAUCAUUUGGAACGCCAAUGGUGAAAACAGGUAGCUGGGAGUGUGCUGACGCUGAGGCACGAAAGCGUGGGGAGCAAACAGG